AACGAACGCUGGCGGCAUGCCUAACACAUGCAAGUCGAACGAGACCUUCGGGUCUAGUGGCGCACGGGUGCGUAACGCGUGGGAACCUGCCCUUAGGUUCGGAAUAACUCCCCGAAAGGGGUGCUAAUACCGGAUAAUGUCUUCGGACCAAAGAUUUAUCGCCUUUGGAUGGGCCCGCGUUGGAUUAGCUAGUUGGUAGGGUAAAAGCCUACCAAGGCGACGAUCCAUAGCUGGUCUGAGAGGAUGAUCAGCCACACUGGGACUGAGACACGGCCCAGACCUCGGGGGGGGGAAGCAGGGGGGACUGUGGAACGCGGGGAGAGGGCUGGACCCAGCCGGGCCGCGGGAGUAAGGAGGCCGUGGGGGUUGUAAGUGUUUUUGCCAGGGUAAGAAAAGGACAGUACCGGGCAAAAAAGCCCCGGCUACCCCCGUC
rnacentral:rRNA from 1 species